AUAAAAAUUUAUGAUUUAAAAAAUUUAAUUUAAAUUUAUUUUACAUAUAAAUUUUAGUAUGAAUUUAUAAUUAUUUUAAUAAUAAUAAUAAGUUAUUUAUAGUAAUUAAUAUUAAAAAUUUAAGAAAUUAAGAUUUAGUAAUAUUAAAAUUAUUAACAAAUUUUGUGCCAGCAGUUGCGGUUAUACAAAAAAUAAUUUAAAUUUUAUCAGUAUAUAAUUAUUAAUAAAUAAUUUAAUUUAAAUAUUAAAUUAUUAGGUAAAAUUUUAAUUUAAUUAAAAUUUAUUUAAAAUUUAUGAUUUAUUAAAUUUUAUAAAAAACUAGGAUUAGAUACCCUAUUAUUAAAAAUUAAAUUUAUAAUACUAAAAUAGUAAAUAAUAAUUUAUUGAAACUUAAAUAAUUUGGCGGUAUUUUAGUACAUUUAGAGGAAUCUGUCUAAUAAUUGAUAAUCCACGAAUAAAUUUACUUAAUUUAUAAUUUUAUAUAUCGUUGUUAAAAAAAUAUUUUUUUAGGAAAAUAAUAUUUAAAAAUUUUUAUAAAAAAUUAAUUCAGAUCAAGAUGUAGAUUAUAAUUAAGAAUAUGAUGGAUUACAAUAAUAAAAAUUAAAUGAAUAAUGUUUUGUAAAUAAUAUUUGAAGGUGGAUUUAAAUGUAAUUUUAUUUAAUUUAAUAAAGUGAUUAUAAAUUAAAAUAUGUACAUAUUGCCCGUCGCUUUCAUUUAUAAAUUGAAAUAAGUCGUAACAUAGUAGAGGUACUGGAAAGUGUUUCUAGAAAGUU
rnacentral:ncRNA from 1 species